CCCUUGCUCCAGCAACGAGGACCGCACCUUUGUGUCUUCAUGUCCGUCCUCUCAUCCAGCCACCGAUGUCUGUCUCAAGCCACUUGGCUCACCCUAUCUGUAAAUUUAGUGCUUCUUCUGCCUGCAUACAUCCAUCUCACAGACGGAGGAAUAAGGCAGGGAGGAGGCUCAUGAGGGCCAUAAAUGAGGCUUGAGUCUCUAAAGAUUAUGGAUGUGGAGCACCGGGUCACACUCCUCCAACUACAAUGGUUGUUCCACCAACAGGGGCAGAGAUGUAGGUAACUAACGAUGAUGCAGGCUCGUUGAAGAUUUGUGCUCCUUGCAAAAAUGCUGCAGAUUUAUUUUCUUGACGGAAGAAAAAUAAUUGAGCAACCUCAGAGAUGUGCUGCCUGCUUGCCUUUGGCUGUAGAACUAUAGAUAUGUAGGCACGUCAAACAAAUAAAAUCACACAUCACGUUCCACAGGGAGGAAAUAGGCAGAGCUGAUCGGAAGAAAAAUUGUGCUGCCUUUUAUGGUGGUUUUAACCAGUUGAAGGGUUUACUCCAAACUGGUGCUGAUCCGAAGAACACCGAGUUGACGAGGCGACCUUCUUUGUGGGCACGAAGCGCCAUGGGGGAGCUUGGUAGAGUGCAUAGUUGCACAUUAGUACUUCUACACGGAAACACAAACUGCUCUAGCCAUACAUGAGGAGGAUAAUUGCAUGAUUGUUUAUAGGUCAAUCCAGUACACUGAGGAAACCGAAAUUCAUAUUGCAAAUGUCUCGGUUUACCUUGUCACAAUGUUCAUGUUAUCACUAGAAGAAUUGGCACUGAGUUUGGUGGAUAAAUUUUUAGAUCAUUACCAGGCAUGCGAUUCUUAAGAUGUUCCCAUUCAGAAUUGACAUGCGGUCAUCUUCCCUCUACUGUUACUCAAGACUGACGGACAUGAAUCAUAGGAACUGUCGAAGCAUGAAGGGAACAACAAGAUGAACUGGCUUUUAUCGGCAUUCUUGUGUACAUUGAAGAUUUUGGGGCAUUUGGUUGCAUCUGAACUGUCUCUAUUUGAACCUUAGAUUGAUGAGUGAUUUGUUACAUUCUUCACUUGCACAACCUAUCUCUAUUUGAACUAACUGUGUUGUUCAAUGGUGUGCUUAAAUUCAGUUGUGGAAAGGAAUCGCAUCAGGCUUAGGGUAUCAUGGAACAAAGAAUUAUUGUUAAUGAAAAGCUAUUUUAACUCUGACCAGUAGCCGACAUUACUGCAAGUGCUUGCGGAGGCACAAGGUCUAUUUAAAUGGGAUCCUUCUUUGGCCUCGUAACAUGAA